AGUCAACGAUGGAUAGGGGUUCUGAGAGGAAGGUCCCCCACAUUGGAACUGAGACACGGUCCAAACUCCUACGGGAGGCAGCAGUGAGGAAUAUUGGUCAAUGGGCGAUGGCCUGAACCAGCCAAGUAGCGUGAAGGAUGACUGCCCUAUGGGUUGUAAACUUCUUUUAUAAAGGAAUAAAGUCGGGUAUGCAUACCCGUUUGCAUGUACUUUAUGAAUAAGGAUCGGCUAACUCCGUGCCAGCAGCCGCGGUAAUACGGAGGAUCCGAGCGUUAUCCGGAUUUAUUGGGUUUAAAGGGAGCGUAGAUGGAUGUUUAAGUCAGUUGUGAAAGUUUGCGGCUCAACCGUAAAAUUGCAGUUGAUACUGGAUGUCUUGAGUGCAGUUGAGGCAGGCGGAAUUCGUGGUGUAGCGGUGAAAUGCUUAGAUAUCACGAAGAACUCCGAUUGCGAA
rnacentral:rRNA from 1 species